AUGGAGUCGUGCAGCUUCCGCACCGCCACCUCUCCUUCGCCGUUCCCCUCGGCUCCGUCGUCCUCCUCGUCCCCUCGCGCGCCGUGCCCCAGUCUCCGGUUCGCCAGAGCAAGAAAUGGGAGGCAGAUGCGGAUGCGGAGGAUGGCGUCGGGGUUUGAUGCCUUCCCGCCCCUCCCAGGCAAAGUCUUCGUCGAGGAGACAAUUGGAGCUGAAUAUGGGGAAGGAUUUGAGACUUUCAGGAUGGACGGACCACUCAAUAUCGAUGUGGAUUAUCUGAACGAAAAAUUGCAAGAAUGCUUCCUUCAAAGGAUAAGGCAUGCUAUGAAGCCGGAUGAAGCAUUUGGUCUAAUUUUCUCAUGGGACAAUGUUAUUGCUGACACAGACUCGCUAAAGUUGGAUGCUUGGAGACAGCUUGCUUUGGAGGAAGGGAAGGACAUCCCUACUGCUGCUCAUAUCCAAAAGAGUAUUCUUCAUGGUGCUGCUGACCAUGUCCUUAGAAAGGUUUUGUAUUGGGCAAAAGAGGAUGAUCAAAUGGAAAGAUUGAAGGCACGCCUUAUCGAGCUUUACUAUGAAAGCCUCUUCAAACUUGAUACCCCAGUAGAAGGAUUGAGAGAAUGGUUGGAUGCAGUUCGGACAGCAGGUAUACCCUGCGCAGUGGCAUCAUCCCUGGAUAGGAGAUGCAUGGUUGAAGCUUUGGACAGGAUGGCCUUAAGCAAAUACUUCAAGGCUAUUGUGACCGAUGAGGAUGAUAUGGAGUCAAUAGCACAUAGGUUUCUCUCAGCUGCUGUUAAGUUGGAUCGGAAGCCCUCGAAAUGCAUAGUGUUUGAGGAUGACCCAAGAGGCGUUACAGCUGCUCACAACUGCACUAUGAUGGCAGUUUCCUUGAUUGGUGCUCAUCCUGCGUAUGAGCUGGAACAAGCGGACCUUGCUGUCGCGAGAUACAGUGAGCUCUCGGUGAUCAACCUCAGAAGGAUGUUUGCACACAAGGGGCUAAGCUUCAUGGACAUGCAGAAGCAGAUAAUCGAGCGGUCACCACCCAAGAGGAAGCUGACAGUAGACACCAUCUUCUGA
rnacentral:rRNA from 1 species